UACGGAGGGUGCAAGCGUUAAUCGGAAUUACUGGGCGUAAAGCGCACGCAGGCGGUCUGUCAAGUCGGAUGUGAAAUCCCCGGGCUCAACCUGGGAACUGCAUUCGAAACUGGCAGGCUAGAGUCUUGUAGAGGGGGGUAGAAUUCCAGGUGUAGCGGUGAAAUGCGUAGAGAUCUGGAGGAAUACCGGUUGCGAAGGCGGCCCCCUGGACAAAGACUGACGCUCAGGUGCGAAAGCGUGGGGAGCAAACAGGAUUAGAUACCCUGGUAGUCCACGCCGUAAACGAUGUCGAUUGGGAGGUUGUGGCCUUGAGGCGUGGCUUCCGGAGCUAACGCGUUAAAUCGACCGCCUGGGGAGUACGGCCGCAAGGUUAAA
rnacentral:rRNA from 1 species